AGCCACAGUUCCCUGGGAGCUGACAAUGUGCCUGGCUUCUACUUACCAGGCGCCAUUUGUUAAAUCCCAUGAAGCAAGGACUGCGGUCUACAGAUGAGAAACAGGCACCUUGGUGACAAACGACCAGUGUGGGGUCACAAUAGAUGCUGUACUCUUUAUGAAAUCAUGGAAAAGUUUGAGACCUGGGGUCUUCCAGGCAGAAGUGAGCUCCUGGGAGCAGAGUUUGGAAGUUGUACCUUCAUUUGAUUCUGUUUCCUGGUCAACUACAUUGUGAAAGCUGCUGUCACAAAUUCUCACUGCCAUCGAUGAGAAGACCAUGAUAGACUGAGAGACCCUCUAAAACUGUGAGCCAAAUCCCUCCUCUACCUUUCCUCCUUUACAUUGUUUUUGUUGGAUAUUUUGGUUGCAACAUAACGAAAAGAAGCUAACAAACGCAUGCAUUUGACAAGGGAUUAAUGUUCAGAACAUCUAAGAAAUUCACCAUCUCAAUACCAAAGAUUGAUGGAUCCAAUGAAAAUGGGCAAAAGAUUUCAACAGACAUGUCUUAGCAUAUAUGUGAAUGGCUAGCAGUCACCAGAAGACAUGUUCUCCAUCACAAAUAAUCAGGGAACUUCAAAUCAAAACAAUUAUGAGACAUCAUUUCAUACUGCCCAGGACCAGUGUCCGGAGCAGUGUUGAAGUCAAGUCAUGGGGACAAGCUGACAGCCUGUACUUGAAACAGCUUCUGAAGGUCACCAGACAGCUCAGCUCUCACAGACCAAAGCACAAUCUUUUAUUUACAUAUCAUUUCAAUCAUCCACCCCAGACUCCCUUUUGAUUAUUCCACCAAUCAGCAUUUUUUUUUUACCUUAGCCCCUUGACUCAUAGGAAAAGGCAGUAAACACAUUAUUUUUCUUAACCAUUCAAAUGAAUUUAGAGAUCUGCCAGCCUGGGUAAGCACAGUUGAUAAGCUAUCUGGGUAGAUCUGGCUCUGAGAUCACUACUCCCAGCACACCUUGGCCUAAAUUUGCUCUUUCCCAGGCUGACCUUGAACUCAGGAAUCUGCCUGCCUUUGUAUCUUUCUGACAAGCCAGCUGCCUCCAUUCUUCUUGGUCCAUGAAGAUGCUUAUAUUAUUUAUAUCAUGUCCUUAUACUUUGCAUAAUCGAGAAAAUACAUAUUUUUGAACUCAUGUUUCAGAAUUUUUUCCCACAGCCUUAAGGGCUGUCCUGAAGGUCACGGCAUUUACCAUUUUUUACUAAAGACAUAAACAUUCUCUUGCCGCUCAAACUCAUGCUCUCUCUGAUUAUCAUGGAGUCAUUAACCUCUGUAGAAAGGACAUUCCCCAAUAACCUUGGCAGGGCGAAUAUUUCCUGAAGGAGGAACAUGAAGUAAAAAAAAAUAUUUUUUUAUGCAAACAAGCCCAGCAAUUGUCAACAUUUGUGGAAGCCCAUUCCCUGCUGGCUCUGCUCCAGGGGCAGGAACCGUGCCAUACUGUCCCUUUCAUGACCAUACAGGACUCUGCAUCAUACCAGUCAGAAAGGCUGGAAUCGAAAAGACAAGAAAUAAGUGCUGGAAAGUCUACGGAGACAGGAACUCUUAUACACUGUUAAUAGAAUAUAAAUUAGUGCAGUCAUUUUGAAAAGCAGUAUGAGUUUUUGUCCAAAGCUAAACCAGAACUACCAAUUCUGCUACUGGACACAGAGUCAAAGAAAAUAAAAUCAUACCUGGAAGA